AUUGAACGCUGGCGGCAGGCCUAACACAUGCAAGUCGAGCGGAGCGGACGGGGGAGUAAUGCCGAGGAAUCUGCCUGGUCGUGGGGGAUAACGUCGGGAAACAGGCGCUACUACCGCAUACUAUACGUUGAGCCUAGGUAGGAUUAGCUAGUUGGUGGGGUAAAGGCCGACCAAGGCGACGAUCCGUAACUGGUCUGAGAGGAUGAUCAGUCACACUGGAACUGAGACACGGUCCAGACUCCUACGGGAGGCAGCAGUGGGGAAUAUUGGACAAUGGGCGAAAGCCUGAUCCAGCCAUGCCGCGUGUGUGAAGAAGGUCUUCGGAUUGUAAAGCACUUUAAGUUGGGAGGCUUUACCAACAGAAUAAGCACCGGCUAACUUCGUGCCAGCCGCCGCGGUAAUUC
rnacentral:rRNA from 1 species